UCGCACCUCGGACUUUCGAGCGGGUGGAAUUUCACCCGCUCGACACCCUCUCCUCCCGUCGUAUUUCACCCUUUUCCUUCUCUGCAGCUGCUCCUCCCUGACAAAGAAACUUCUCACCGUCUUCUCACCGUCGCACCAAAGGCCUUUCUCAACGUCGCUGCUCCGCCAUUUCUGCUCCGCUCCUCUGCCGAUUCGCCAACGCCACAGUCGCCUCUCAUCUCCUGCUUAGAAACCUGAUGCGAAGGCGCAAGCCUUGAAAGCAGCAAACAAAGUGAAGUCAGGGCAAAUAAAAAGAAGAUUAAGGCAGCUGUUAGGACAAAAAAGCGCAGGCUUGAAGAUGCCAAGUUGAUUCAUUUGCAGGGUUUUCUCUUUCAUUAAUUCAACCUUGAGAAACAAGCUGAUCACAGGCGUGGCUGGCACUUGGGGACAUGCCCAAGGAGCAAGCCAGGGAAGAGUUCAUCAAUCUCCUGACCUCUUUGUUGCCGGAAUAGAGAGAUUGGUUUGAUAAGAAUUAAGAUUUGGCGUGUUUCGAUGGAGACUGUGGAGAGGUGGGGAGGAUCAUGAAGAGGUUUCACAGCAAGGGAGUGCACUUUAUGGCUAAGAUGUAGAGUUUGGUUAUUGAAUUUUUAGGCUGUUCUGGUUUCAUGGCCGACCAUAUGCUGUUAUUUGGUAGUAUUGUACACAAUGAAAUGAAGUGAUAAUUUAUUGGUAAACAUAUGUUGGUCGUAUCUUAUUGAACCUUGGGUUUUAUGAAUGCAUCAAGUUCU